AACAGGAUUAGAUACCCUGGUAGUCCACGCCUAAACGAUGUCAACUAGUUGUUGGGGAUUCAUUUCCUCAGUAACGUAGCUAACGCGUGAAGUUUGACCGCCUGGGGAGUACGGUCGCAAGAUUAAAACUCAAAGGAAUUGACGGGGACCCGCACAAGCGGUGGAUGAUGUGGAUUAAUUCGAUGCAACGCGAAAAACCUUACCUACCCUUGACAUGGUCGGAAUCCUGCUGAGAGGUGGGAGUGCUCGAAAGAGAACCGAUACACAGGUGCUGCAUGGCUGUCGUCAGCUAGUGUCGUGAGAUGUUGGGUUAAGUCCCGCAACGAGCGCAACCCUUGUCCUUAGUUGCUACGCAAGAGCACUCUAAGGAGACUGCCGGUGACAAACCGGAGGAAGGUGGGGAUGACGUCAAGUCCUCAUGGCCCUUAUGGGUAGGGCUUCACACGUCAUACAAUGGUCGGAACAGAGGGUUGCCAACCCGCGAGGGGGAGCUAAUCCCAGAAAACCGAUCGUAGUCCGGAUUGCACUCUGCAACUCGAGUGCAUGAAGCUGGAAUCGCUAGA
rnacentral:rRNA from 1 species